GUGGGGAAUCUUGCGCAAUGCGCGAAAGCGUGACGCAGCCAUGCCGCGUGGGGGAAGACGGCCUUCGGGUUGUAAACCCCUUUCAGUUGGGACGAAGCUCAGGCGGUGAAAAGCCGCGUGGAGUGACGGUACCUUCAGAAGAAGCCCCGGCUAACUACGUGCCAGCAGCCGCGGUAAUACGUAGGGGGCAAGCGUUGUCCGGAAUCAUUGGGCGUAAAGAGCGUGUAGGCGGCUUGACAAGUCCGCUGUGAAAGUCCAGGGCUCAACCCUGGAAUGCCGGUGGAAACUGUCGAGCUAGAGUCCGGAAGAGGCGAGUGGAACUCCUGGUGUAGCGGUGAAAUGCGCAGAUAUCAGGAAGAACACCAAUGGCGAAGGCAGCUCGCUGGGACGUGACUGACGCUGAGACGCGAAAGCGUGGGGAGCAAACAGG
rnacentral:rRNA from 1 species